AAGUGAGUGAGAAGAGGUGGGAGGAAGAGAAACUACGCCACCUCCCCUGCAGCCGAGUGCACGCAGCAGCCUGGCGUGACAAGUGGGCGACGCCGGGGGGCAGGGAGCCGGGGUCCUUGGCCCUGGCCGGGGACCCCACCGCCCACCGCGCGGAGGACAACUUUUAGCCGGCAGCCCAGACCAGCGCGGCACCUGUCUCCGGAGUCUCCACCGCUCCUCCCGAUUCAUCCCAGGGAAAUUCUCAAGAAUACGCUCUACAAAUCUACGUGCGCAUCAUUUUCACCUCGCGUCGCGCCCGGGAGGAAGGAACGAGGCAAGGAGCUAAAGCAGCGUGCGUUCAGCCCUGGGGAGGAAAAUGGAAGAAACGGAGAUACUUUUAGUGAAGCAGAAUAAACCACUGAACAGAUGGAGUCUCACUCUGUUGCCCAGACUGGAAUGCAGUGGUGUGAUCUCAACUGACUGCAACCUCCGUAUCCUGGGUUCAAGCAACUCUCCUGCUGCAGCCACGAAAAAUGAGGAAGCUGUGAGUACCAGUGGAAGGAACGAGCCAGGAAGAGGGACUGGAACCAUCUCAGAAGCCAUGCCCCUCAGGCUGGAACUUGCCCUGUCUCCUCGCAGAUGAGCUACCUCUUGUGUUUAAGAAUUAAAGGAAGAUGAGCUAGGAAUCAAGAAAUACGCAGAACUGAUUCCUGUCACUGGCGCCACCCUGCCACUUGCCCAGAGCUGUGGUAUAAAUUUUUUUAAUAGGCUGAAAUAAAAAUAUGAAUAGCAUUUUGGUAUUAAGCAUUAAAUUGAUAAAGGCUAUGAGAUACACCUGCUCUCAACCAUGUUAAUUUUUUAUUAUUGGUAUUAAUAAAUUAUUACUUACUAACAUAUUAACAAGAAUUGCAUUGAGAAACAAAGCAUCCACAGGCCAAAUCUUCUGAAUUUCAAAUGUUUAUAUUAAUGCGUUGUAUUCUAGAAAAGUAGAAUUGUCUUAAGUAGCUUUGUAAUAUAAAGUCAUCUAUCAGCCCAUUACACCUAUUAGAAUGUUUUAACCUUUAUUUCCCACUUUUUUGUUUCUAGACUGAGUGUACUUGGUCUGGUAUUUGUGGCAUAACUUACGGAACACAUAAGAAUGAUACAGAUACUAUUUAAUGAUGACCUAAUACAAGCUUAGAUAGCUAAGGUGAAAGCUUCUAUGGCCUUAACAUUUUCCUCUUGAAGAAUGUAUUUUCUGUAAUAAAAUACAGUGGCUACUUGAAAUCUAUAAACUUAUGUGAGGUCUGGAUAAAUCUGAGCAACUUUCUUCUUUGUGCUCCAGGAACCUACGCACUAUAUAUAUAAAUAAAGCUUAAGUAAACAUCA
rnacentral:lncRNA from 1 species